GGUGGAUCGGUAUUUUAAGUGUGAAAACUGCUUAUGGUAUUUGUUCAUUGAUUAUUGUUUUAUUAGAAUUAAUUUGUUUAAAGGUCCUACUUGUGCAAAUAGAGUAUCGAAGAGUAAAAGUAAAAGCGCAUUCUCUAUCUCAGGAUUUAAAUAAAGAAGUUGCCUUUUCUGUUAAUGUACAAUGAACAUCUCAUAAUCAAGAAACAGUUUGUUCUAUGGACAUUGCCGUAUUCUUUAAAAGAUUGUGUUAAUGGUUGCUGAUUAUCCUGAAAUGAACGACAGAACUAACAUGGU